GGUCUUCGGAUCGUAAAACCCUGUUUUAGAGAAGAAAGUGCGUGAGAGUAACUGUUCCGUUUCGACGGUAUCUAACCAAAAGCCACGGCUAACUACGUGCCAGCAGCCGCGGUAAUACGUAGGUGGCAAGCGUUAUCCGGAUUUAUUGGGCGUAAAGGGAACGCAGGCGGUCUUUUAAGUCUGAUGUGAAAGCCUUCGGCUUAACCGGAGUAGUGCAUUGGAAACUGGGAGACUUGAGUGCAGAAGAGGAGAGUGGAACUCCAUGUGUAGCGGUGAAAUGCGUAGAUAUAUGGAAGAACACCAGUGGCGAAAGCGGCUCUCUGGUCUGUAACUGACGCUGAGGUUCGAAAGCGUGGGUAGCAAACAGGAUUAGAUACCCUGGUAGUCCACGCCGUAAACGAUGAAUGCUAAGUGUUGGAGGGUUUCCGCCCUUCAGUGCUGCAGCUAACGCAAUAAGCAUUCCGCCU
rnacentral:rRNA from 1 species